GACGAACGCUGGCGGCGUGCCUAAUACAUGCAAGUCGAACGCAUUUUCUUUCACCGUAGCUUGCUACACCGAAAGAAAAUGAGUGGCGAACGGGUGAGUAACACGUGGGUAACCUGCCCAUCAGCGGGGGAUAACACUUGGAAACAGGUGCUAAUACCGCAUAAUUCCAUUUACUGCAUGGUAGAUGGAUGAAAGGCGCUUUUGCGUCACUGAUGGAUGGACCCGCGGUGCAUUAGCUAGUUGGUGGGGUAACGGCCUACCAAGGCUGCGAUGCAUAGCCGACCUGAGGGGGUGAUAGGCCACACUGGGAACGAGACACGGCCCAGACUCCUACGGGAGGCAGCAGUAGGGAAUCUUCGGCAAUGGACGCAAGUCUGACCGAGCAACGCCGCGUGAGUGAAGAAGGUUUUCGGAUCGUAAAACUCUGUUGUUAGAAAAGAACAAGGAUGAGAGUGGAAAGUUCAUCCCUUGACGGUAUCUAACCAGAAAGCCACGGCUAACUACGUG
rnacentral:rRNA from 1 species